rnacentral:ncRNA from 2 species
UUGUGUAGUCUAAAACUAAUUCUUAUAUACCGAAGAUAAGGUUCGGUGUUUCUACAAGCCGCCUUAAAUGGCUAACUAAGGAGGAUGUAUGCAGUUUU